GGGGAAUUGGUGUAGGGGUAUCACGUUUGCUUUGCAUGUAAAAGGUCAGGGGUUCAAAUCCCUUAUUCUCCA
rnacentral:tRNA from 3 species